UAAUGUAUCAAUUGAGAAAGCCCCUAAUCUCCAAACACUCUUCUCAAACAAUCUCUACGUCUUCACCCUAAGUUAUCUUCAUUUUCUUUUUUUUUUGAUAAUUGUGCGGUUAAUGCCCAGGAAACAGAUUAAAUAAAGUCUGGGAGAAGAAUUCCCCAUUACAUUAUUACUAAGAACCUGAACUAUAGAAACUGUGGCACACUGACAUUAGUAAAAUAUGGGCAUGAAUCGUUAAUUUUGCAAAAUGAAAUUUUGUUCUUCCAAAGCAAAAACAUAACAGAUCUGGGUUUCAUAAGCAAAAACUUUGUUCUACAUGUUCUUCUUUCAUCCAACAUUUCCCUUUCACAGCCUCUUUUCUUCUUAGUUCUGAUUGGGUGAAAAAAUUGAAUUUCAUUGCAGAUCUGGGAUUGAAGAAGAAGUGGGCUUCAUUGCAGAUCUGAGGUUAGGGUUGCGGUGGGAGAGAGAAACCCAAUCCUCCCCAACCUCAACACCACCAUCCAACGAGAAACCCAUAAAUCUAUCACCAAGCUUCAACCUUUUCUCUGAUAUAUGUAGUGUCCCUCCCGGAUCUGCCCCCAAUUCGUGAAAACCACAUCAGGGUCCGCAAAGUAUGAAUCUUUCUGGUUCAGAACCGGUCCAGGAAGACCCAUGUACCCAUGAGAGAGGCUUGGGAAAUAGGUGUUUGCGGCUAUGACGAAAGCAAUACCAUCGCUGGAAGGGCAACAAGAUGACGAGAUGAUUGAGAAGGUGAAGCGGCAUGAGAAAGAAGAAGUGGAGUUUGUGAAAGGAUCAAGAAAUCGAACUGGGUGUGCAUAGAAAGCUCUGAAUCUUAUUUGAUCUGGAUUAUGGAAGGUUAAAUGGGGUUUUGACUUUGGUAAGAGAGACGUUGAUGAAGAAGAUGAAGAUGAAGGAUGAAUUUCUGGGUUAAGGUGAAGCUUAAUCUCUUUUCCUUAAUGUGAAAACCCUAAAACGCAAAGUUUCAUGAAAUUGGGUUACCACUUAACGAAAUUAUAAAAAUGUUAGGACUAUAACAUAAUUAAUACAAACUAUUUUUUUUGUU